ACUCGCGUCCGCCAUAUUGGAUGCCGCAGCCGCCGCUGCCAGCGCUUCCUCCUCCGUCUUCGCGGCGCGCCGCUGGUUCCUACGGGCCCCGAGCGGCGGGGAGGCGAAACAGGAGCCCGCCGGAGGAAAGAGGAAGGAGGGGGUGGAAAGAAGUCGGGGACCGGGGCUAGAGGGUGGAAGCCCGAGACCGAGUGGGGCGGAGAAGAGAAGGCGCCGCGGCCCGGCCCCUCCCCCCCCGUCCGCCGCCGCCGACCCGCCCCGGCAGCGCCUCUGUUCCCCUGCCCGGCGCUCCGCCCGCCCUAGCGGCCAUGCCGGGGCCUCGCCGCCCCUAAGGGAGAGCCCUUCUCCACCAGUGCUUGCCUCGCCUUUUCCCUCGGGCCCGGGGGGUCGCAGCGGCCCGGCCCCCCACCCCGCGUCCCCGCCGCCGUCGGCGCGCCCGCCCCCUCACACCCCCCACCCUCCUCGCGGCGCCGCCGCCGUCCCCGUCUCGCUCUCCCCACCCAGUGCAGUGGCCGCCGCCUCUUCCGCCGCCGGGCUCCGGGCCUCCGCACCGACAACAUGGAGGCUGUGAAAACCUUCAAUAGCGAGUUGUAUUCCCUGAAUGACUACAAGCCACCCAUUUCUAAAGCGAAAAUGACCCAAAUUACUAAGGCAGCCAUCAAAGCUAUAAAGUUCUAUAAACAUGUGGUACAGAGUGUUGAGAAAUUCAUUCAGAAAUGUAAACCAGAAUAUAAGGUGCCUGGACUUUAUGUUAUUGACUCUAUUGUACGACAAUCUCGACAUCAGUUUGGUCAAGAAAAGGAUGUGUUUGCACCCAGAUUUAGUAAUAACAUCAUUAGCACUUUCCAGAAUUUAUACCGUUGCCCUGGAGAUGACAAGAGUAAAAUAGUGAGAGUAUUAAACUUAUGGCAGAAGAAUAAUGUAUUUAAGAGUGAGAUUAUUCAGCCUCUUCUGGAUAUGGCAGCAGGGAUUCCUCCUCCAGUUGUCACACCUGUUCUGGCCAGUACUACUGCUGCUAUGAGCAAUACUCCAGGAACUCCUGUGACACCUGUUACUCCAGCCAAUGUGGUCCAAGGUCUGCCUGAUCCGUGGGUGUCCCAGAUAACAAACACAGACACGCUGGCAGCAGUCGCUCAGAUCUUACAGAGUCCCCAAGGCCAACAGCUUCAGCAGUUAAUACAGACUUUACAGAUACAGCAGCAGAAGCCUCAGCCCUCCAUCCUGCAAGCCCUGGAUGCUGGUCUUGUCGUCCAGCUGCAGGCUCUUACAGCACAGCUUACAGCGGCAGCCGCAGCAGCCAACACCCUUAAUCCCCUAGAACAGGGGGUGUCUUUUAACAAGAAGUUGAUGGAUAGGUUUGAUUUUGGGGAAGAUUCUGAGCAUAGUGAAGAACCCAAAAAGGAAAUUCCAGCUUCUCAACUUUCUCAUGUUUCGGAAUCUGUGAACAAUUCCAUCUUUCAUCAGAUAGCAGAACAAUUGCAGCAGCAAAACCUUGAACAUCUCAGACAGCAACUCCUGGAACAGCAGCAGCCUCAAAAGGCAACUCCUCAGGAUAGUCAAGAAGGAACAUUUGGGUCAGAACAUUCUGCAUCACCAUCACAAGGGAGCAGUCAGCAGCAUUUCCUUGAACCUGAAGCAAAUUUGGAUGAUUCCAUAGAUAUUCAGCAACAGGAUAUGGAUAUAGAUGAAGUGCAAGAUGCGGUGGAAGAGGAGGUCUUUGAACAGGAAGCAAAGAAAGUGGCUGUUCGUUCAAGAUCAAGAACACACUCCCGAUCUCGUUCAAGAUCACCAAGAAAACGAAGGUCUAGGUCACGAUCUGGUUCUCGAAAGCGUAAGCACAGAAAGCGAUCACGCUCCCGCUCUAGAGAAAGAAAAAGGAAAUCAUCACGUUCAUACUCAAGUGAAAGGAGAGCUAGAGAAAGGGAGAAAGAACGACAGAAGAAGGGAUUACCUCCAAUUAGAUCUAAAACAUUAAGUGUGUGCAGCACUACUCUCUGGGUUGGUCAGGUGGACAAGAAGGCAACACAGCAGGAUUUAACCAACCUGUUCGAAGAGUUUGGACAGAUUGAGUCCAUUAAUAUGAUUCCUCCCAGAGGCUGUGCUUAUGUCUGCAUGGUUCAUCGACAAGAUGCAUUUCGAGCUCUUCAGAAACUUAGUUCCGGGUCGUAUAAAAUUGGAUCCAAGGUCAUUAAGAUUGCUUGGGCUUUAAACAAAGGUGUGAAAACAGAAUACAAACAAUUCUGGGAUGUGGAUCUUGGAGUUACGUAUAUACCGUGGGAGAAAGUUAAAGUGGAUGACUUGGAAGGUUUUGCAGAAGGAGGCAUGAUUGAUCAGGAAACUGUAAAUACUGAGUGGGAAACGGUGAAAAGCUCAGAACCUGUUAAAGAGACGGUCCAGACAACUCAGAGCCCACCUCCAGCUGAAAAGGAGACAGUGGUCACAACCCAGGCAGAGGUUUUCCCUCCACCUGUUGCUAUGUUACAGAUUCCGGUAGCUCCAGCAGUGCCUGCAGUUAAUUUAGUACCACCAACAUUUCCUGUGUCAAUGCCAGUUCCUCCUCCCGGCUUCAGUCCAAUCCCUCCGCCUCCUUUUCUCCGAGCAAGUUUCAACCCUUCACAACCACCGCCUGGUUUCAUGCCUCCUCCAGUUCCACCCCCUGUUGUACCACCACCUACUAUCCCACCAGUAGUACCAACAUCUUUAGUGCAGCCGCCAUUAUCUAUGACUCCAGAAACUGUGAAAGAUGUUGGAUUUGGUAGCCUUGUUUUACCAGGUGGUUCUGUUGCCAGCAGUCUUGCUACUGCCACUCUGCCAGCUGGAAAUGUUUUUAAUCCUCCAACGAAACAAGCAGAGCCUGAAGAAAAAGUACCUCAUCUUAUUGAUCACCAGAUUUCUUCUGCAGAAAACACCAGAUCAGUGAUUCCAAAUGAAAUUUCAAGUGGCCCUGCGAUUUUAGGACAGCCGCCAAAUGUGACAAGCAAUUCUGGAAUUCUGGGAGUCCAAAGACCAAACGUAUCCAGUAAUAAUGAAAUUCUUGGAGUCCGGCCAUCUAAUGUUUCCGGUAGUUCUGGGAUUAUUGGACCCCAGCCACCAAAUAUUCUAAAUAACUCUGGAAUUUUGGGAUUACAGCCACCAAAUGUGUCAAGUAGUUCUGGACUUUUGGGAGUGCUCCCCCCAAAUAUGCCUAAUAAUUCUGGACUUAUCGGAGUACAGCCACCUGGUAUCCCAAGUACUUCUGGGCUUUUGGGAACACAACCACCAGCUGGGCCUCAAAACUUACCCCCUUUAAAUCUUCCUAAUCAAAGGAUGCCUGCAAUGCCAAUGUUAGACAUUCGUCCAGGACUGAUCCCACAGACGCCUGGACCACGAUUCCCUUUAAUACAGCCUGGAAUUCCACCCCAGCGGGGACUCCCUCCCCCAGCAGUACUUGAUUCAGCUCUGCAUCCACCACCCCGUGGUCCUUUUCCUCCAGGAGAUAUUUUUAGUCCACCUGAAAGACCUUUUCUAGUUCCUGGAAGACAAAAUGUAGACAAUGUUCCUAACCCAGAGAAAAGGAUACCACUUGGGAAUGAUAACAUUCAGCAGGAAGGUGACAGAGAUUACCGGUUUCCUCCCAUUGAACCCAGGGAAGCCAUCAGUAGACCUCCCCCGGUGGAUGUUAGGGAUGUGGUUGGACGACCUGUUGAUCCACGAGAAGGUCCUGGAAGGCCUCCGUUAGACGCUAGAGAUCAUUUUGGAAGACCUCCUGUAGAUAUCAGGGAGAAUCUCGUGAGGCCAGGCAUAGAUCAUCUUGGCCGAAGAGACCACUUUGGCUUUAAUCCAGAGAAGCCCUGGGGACCCAGAGAUUUUGAUGAGCGAGAGCAUCGAGUUCUACCUGUCUAUGGCGGUCCAAAAGGCUUACAUGAAGAAAGAGGUAGAUUUCGGUCUGGAAACUACCGGUUUGAUCCUCGAAGUGGUCCUUGGAACAGAGGAUUCGGACAAGAAGUUCACAGAGAUUUUGAUGACCGCAGAAGACCCUGGGAGAGGCAGAGGGACAGGGAUGACAGAGAUUUUGAUUUCUGCAGAGAAAUGAAUGGGAAUCGUCUUGGACGAGAUAGAAUUCAAAACACCUGGAUCCCCCCUCCUCAUGCUCGGGUUUUUGAGUUUUUUGAAGGGGCCACUUCUCAACGAAAAGGUGAUAACGUGCCUCAGGUUAAUGGUGAAAAUACUGAGAGACACGCCCAGCCACCGCCUUUACCAGCGCAGAGUGAUCCUGAACUGUAUGAGAAACUGGCCUCCUCAAGUGAGAUAAACAAGAAGAGUGACACAGUUGCUGAUAUAGAGAGUGAACCAGUGGUAGAAAGCACAGAAACUGAGGGGACAUAAUCAUCACUCAGUAGGACAGAAUGACUCGGAAGAUAAUGGAGCUUUGAAGUCUAGCAGAAUAUGAAGUCUUCCCUCUUCUGGUUUAAAUUUAAGAAGGAGCUGGUAGACAGAUAAGCUGACAGCAGGUCUCCACCGCUGCCGUCGAUCACUGCUGUGUUCACCGUGCCCUUGGAAUGAUGCUGGGCAGACACAGAAGUCCCCCUAGUACUUCUUCAGGACAGCGUGUUUCUCAUUCCCUCAUCAUCGUGAAAAGAAGAUGGAUUUCUCAACCACUUCCUCCUGGAGGAGGAGUUGGAAAAGUGCUGUGAAGUGGCUCGUGCAAGCUCCUGGAACGGCUGAAAGAAACUAUUUGCAUUGGGCCAGUGAUCUUCAGAAAGCAAGGCUGCAGCCUCCCUUGAAAAGGCUACCCAACCCCUACCCCCGGCCCCGCACUCCUCACCCCCCCACCCCCGACCCCCUGCCCUGGGAAACCUCGACUUUUCCAAAGUCAGCCUGACCUACUGGCAGCACUGCCUGCGGUGCGGAGACGCUGGGCUGGAGUCAGUGUGGUCUUUGUUUACUGGAUGCCUGGGCGCUGGGAAGGGAGGCUGCAUGGAGCCUGUUAAUUCGGGGCAUGAAGCAAUAGCAAAGCUCUUAGAGGAAGUAACCAUCGCUCGAAUCCUCCUUCUGCCCACAAACAGGCCGUAAAAGUGAAUUUGAGCUCCGUGGAGACAGGUAUUAAAUGCAGCCGUUCUUGAGUGGUAUUACCAUUGUGUGUGUGUCUAAUGUCAUUUCUGUAACCAGCGGGGCCCAGGCUGAGGCGGAGAGUUUACUUGGCAAAGAAGACUCUCUUCCCUUAAGUUCUGGGAAAGGGAGAAAAGAGAACAAAAAACCGCAACUUCCAAAACACACAGAAAAGUUCCAAAAGCUAGAAAGGUGUUUUAAGAAAACUCUUUCUGACAUAGAACAGGGGAAGGAUGACUUGUUUGUUGGAGCUGUCCACUCAUUGUUUCUACCAGAAAGUCCAAUGAAAGAUUCUGGCAACAAAUUUCAAUUCUGCGAACACUGCUAGACACCCUUUAGGUGCCAGAAAACAUACAAAAUCACUGGGGGUAAAAAGAUGAAUUGGGUUGAUCCCUCCAAGAAAAUUAGGUUUGAGUAAUUUAAGUAUGAAAAGUCUGCAAAAGAAUAUGACAGAAGAGUUUUCUUUUUCCUAGGGAGUGGGGUUAUAGCUAAUAUUUUUAACUUUCUAGUAAAUUCUUGGAUGCUAUAACUGAAGCAUCUUGGUGGGGAUGAUAUGA